GCGCAUGCAGGUGGUUUUGUUUAAGUCAGAUGUGAAAGCCCGGGGCUCAACCUCGGAAAUUGCAUUUUGAAACUGGCAGACUAGAGUACUGUAGAGGGGGUAGAAUUUCAGGUGUAGCGGUGAAAUGCGUAGAGAUCUGAAGGAAUACCCGGUGGCGAAGGCGGCCCCCUGGACAGAUACUGACACUCAGAUGCGAAAGCGUGGGGAGCAAACAGGAUUUAGAUACCCUGGUAG
rnacentral:rRNA from 1 species